CCUACGGGUGGCAGCAGUGGGGGAUAUUGCACAAUGGGGGGAACCCUGAUGCAGCGACGCCGCGUGGGUGAAGGAGCGUUUCGGCGCGUAAAGCCCUAUCGGCAGGGAAGAAGAUGACGGUACCUGACUAAGAAGCCCCGGCUAACUACGUGCCAGCAGCGGCGGUAAUACGUCGGGGGCAAGCGUUAUCCGGAUUUACUGGGUGUAAAGGGAGCGUAGACGGCUGUGCAAGUCUGAAGUGAAAGCCCAGGGCUCAACCCUGGGACUGCUUUGGAAACUGUGGGGCUAGAGUGCUGGAGAGGUAAGUGGAAUUCGUGGUGUAGCGGUGAAAUGCGUAGAUAUUGGGAGGAACACCAGUGGCGAAGGCGGCUUACUGGACAGUAACUGACGUUGAGGCUCGAAAGCGUGGGGAGCAAACAGGAUUAGAUACCCCAGUAGUC
rnacentral:rRNA from 1 species